UCAAUAAUCAUUACCGUGUGCUACUAUGCAACCACACGUAUUACUGUACUUUUACUACCGAGUAGUUCAACAGUAUUAAUGGUAAAACGUCCGCCGUUAUUUUCAUAAAAAUAUUUUUGUCGUUUUCUCAAUCCGACAAUAAUUUGGUUGUGGGGUCCACCAAUGAUUGUACCGUCGUACGGAUAUUCCCUGACAAAAAGAAUAUUUU
rnacentral:lncRNA from 1 species